rnacentral:rRNA from 1 species
GACGACCGCUGGCGGCGUGCUUAACACAUGCAAGUCGAACGGAAAGGCCCUGCUUUUGUGGGGUGCUCGAGUGGCGAACGGGUGAGUAACACGUGAGUAACCUGCCCUUGACUUUGGGAUAACUUCAGGAAACUGGGGCUAAUACCGGAUAGGAGCUCCUGCUGCAUGGUGGGGGUUGGAAAGUUUCGGCGGUUGGGGAUGGACUCGCGGCUUAUCAGCUUGUUGGUAGGGUAGUGGCUUACCAAGGCUUUGACGGGUAGCCGGCCUGAGAGGGUGACCGGCCACAUUGGGACUGAGAUACGGCCCAGACUCCUACGGGAGGCAGCAGUGGGGAAUAUUGCACAAUGGGCGGAAGCCUGAUGCAGCAACGCCGCGUGCGGGAUGACGGCCUUCGGGUUGUAAACCGCUUUCGCCUGUGACGAAGCGUGAGUGACGGUAAUGGGUAAAGAAGCACCGGCUAACUACGUG